rnacentral:rRNA from 1 species
AUGAACGCUAGCUACAGGCUUAACACAUGCAAGUCGAGGGGCAGCAUGAACUUAGCUUGCUAAGUUUGAUGGCGACCGGCGCACGGGUGAGUAACACGUAUCCAACCUGCCGAUGACUCGGGGAUAGCCUUUCGAAAGAAAGAUUAAUACCCGAUGGCAUAGUUCUUCCGCAUGGUAGAACUAUUAAAGAAUUUCGGUCAUCGAUGGGGAUGCGUUCCAUUAGGUUGUUGGCGGGGUAACGGCCCACCAAGCCUUCGAUGGAUAGGGGUUCUGAGAGGAAGGUCCCCCACAUUGGAACUGAGACACGGUCCAAACUCCUACGGGAGGCAGCAGUGAGGAAUAUUGGUCAAUGGACGAGAGUCUGAACCAGCCAAGUAGCGUGAAGGAUGACUGCCCUAUGGGUUGUAAACUUCUUUUAUACGGGAAUAAAGUGGGGCACGUGUGCCUUUUUGUAUGUACCGUAUGAAUAAGGAUCGGCUAACUCCGUGCCAGCAGCCGCGGUAAUACGGAGGAUCCGAGCGUUAUCCGGAUUUAUUGGGUUUAAAGGGAGCGUAGGCGGACGCUUAAGUCAGUUGUGAAAGUUUGCGGCUCAACCGUAAAAUUGCAGUUGAUACUGGGUGUCUUGAGUACAGUAGAGGCAGGCGGAAUUCGUGGUGUAGCGGUGGAAUGCUUAGAUAUCACGAAGAACUCCGAUUGCGAAGGCAGCCUGCUGGACUGUAACUGACGCUGAUGCUCGAAAGUGUGGGUAUCAAACAGGAUUAGAUACCCUGGUAGUCCACGCCGUAAACGAUGAAUACUAGGUGUCGGGGCCGUAGAGGCUUCGGUGCCGCAGCCAACGCAGUAAGUAUUCCACCUGGGGAGUACGCCGGCAACGGUGAAACUCAAAGGAAUUGACGGGGGCCCGCACAAGCGGAGGAACAUGUGGUUUAAUUCGAUGAUACGCGAGGAACCUUACCCGGGCUUGAAUUGCAACUGAAUGAUGUGGAGACAUGUCAGCCGCAAGGCAGUUGUGAAGGUGCUGCAUGGUUGUCGUCAGCUCGUGCCGUGAGGUGUCGGCUUAAGUGCCAUAACGAGCGCAACCCUUAUCGAUAGUUACCAUCAGGUGAUGCUGGGGACUCUGUCGAGACUGCCGUCGUAAGAUGUGAGGAAGGUGGGGAUGACGUCAAAUCAGCACGGCCCUUACGUCCGGGGCUACACACGUGUUACAAUGGGGGGUACAGAAGGCAGCUACACGGCGACGUGAUGCUAAUCCCUAAAGCCUCUCUCAGUUCGGAUUGGAGUCUGCAACCCGACUCCAUGAAGCUGGAUUCGCUAGUAAUCGCGCAUCAGCCACGGCGCGGUGAAUACGUUCCCGGGCCUUGUACACACCGCCCGUCAAGCCAUGAAAGCCGGGGGUACCUGAAGUGCGUAACCGCAAGGAGCGCCCUAGGGUAAAACUGGUGAUUGGGGCU